UUGGUGCCGCAGCUAACGCGGUAAGCGCCCCGCCUGGGGAGUACGGGCGCAAGCCUGAAACUCAAAGGAAUUGGCGGGGGCCCGCACAACCGGUGGAGCGUCUGGUUCAAUUCGAUGCUAACCGAAAAACCUUACCCGGGCUUGACAUGGUGGGAAACCCUUGCGAAAGCGAGGGGUGCCGUCCUCUGGACGGAAUCCCACCACAGGUGGUGCAUGGCCGUCGUCAGCUCGUGUCGUGAGAUGUUGGGUUAAGUCCCGCAACGAGCGCAACCCCUGCCCCUAGUUGCUACCCCGAAUGGGGAGCACUCUAGGGGGACUGCCGGCGAUAAGCCGGAGGAAGGUGGGGAUGACGUCAGGUCAGUAUGCCCUUUAUGCCCGGGGCUACACAGGCGCUACAGUGGCCAGGACAAUGGGAUGCGACCCAGUAAUGGGGAGCAAAUCCCCCAAACCUGGUCAUGGUGCGGAUUGAGGGCUGAAACUCGCCCUCAUGAAGCCGGAAUCGGUAGUAAUGGCGGAUCAGCUAAGCCGCCGUGAAUACGUUCUCGGGCCUUGCACACACCGCCCGUCACGCCACGGAAGUCAGUCUUCCCGGAAGGCCCCAAGC
rnacentral:rRNA from 1 species